rnacentral:tRNA from 1 species
GGGGACAUAGCUCAGCUGGCUAGAGCGCAGCGUUCGCAACGCUGAGGUCGCGGGUUCGAUUCCCGUUGUCUCCACCA